UAGUAUUUACUGUGGGUUUGGGCAGCACAGGGUAAAAACCUAAAGCCUGUGGGACUGUCUUAUGCAAUCUUCUGAGAACUGAAAACCUGAUCACCUGCACUACUACCACUGAAGGAACAGAAGACCAGAAGCAUAAAAAAGAUCUCCCUCUGCCACCAAGGCUGGAGUGCAGUGGCACUAUCAUAGUUUGCUGAAUCCUUGACCUCCUGGGCUGAAGCAAUCCUCCUGCCUCAGCCUCCUGAGUAGCUAGGACUACAGGUACGUGCCAAUACAUUAGGCUAAUUUCUUAAAUUUUUAGUACAGACAAAGUUUCUCUAUGUUGCCUAUGCCGGUCUCGAACUCCUAAGCUCAAGCAAUC
rnacentral:lncRNA from 1 species